rnacentral:rRNA from 1 species
AUUUAUGGCUAUGCCACCCUGAACGUGCCCGAUCUCAUCUGAUCUCAGAAGUUAAACAGGGUCAGGCCUGGUUAGCACUUGGAUAGGAGACCACCUAAGAAUACCAGGUGCUGUAGGCG